rnacentral:tRNA from 1 species
GCAGUAGUGGUUCAGUGGUAGAAUGCUCACCUUCCUUGUGGGAGGCCCCGAUUCAAUUCCUGGCCAAUGUA